rnacentral:rRNA from 1 species
GCCAGACUCCUACGGGAGGCAGCAGUGGGGGAUAUUGGGCAAUGGGGGGAACCCUGAUCCAGCGACGCCGCGUGAGUGAAGAAGUAUUUCGGUAUGUAAAGCUCUGUCAGCAGGGAAGAAAGAAAUGACGGUACCUGACCAAGAAGCCCCGGCUAACUACGUGCCAGCAGCCGCGGUAAUACGUAGGGGGCAAGCGUUAUCCGGAAUUACUGGGUGUAAAGGGAGCGUAGACGGUUAUGUAAGUCUGGAGUGAAAGCCCGGGGCCCAACCCCGGGACUGCUUUGGAAACUGUGUAACUGGAGUACAGGAGGGGCAGGCGGAAUUCCUGGUGUAGCGGUGAAAUGCGUAGAUAUCAGGAGGAACACCGGCGGCGAAGGCGGCCUGCUGGACUGAAACUGACGUUGAGGCUCGAAAGCGUGGGGAGCAAACAGGAUUAGAUACCCGUGUAACC